rnacentral:rRNA from 1 species
AUACGUAGGGGGCAAGCGUUAUCCGGAUUUACUGGGUGUAAAGGGAGCGUAGACGGUCCGGCAAGUCUGAUGUGAAAGGCAGGGGCUCAACCCCUGGACUGCAUUGGAAACUGUCGGACUUGAGUGCCGGAGGGGUAAGCGGAAUUCCUAGUGUAGCGGUGAAAUGCGUAGAUAUUAGGAGGAACACCAGUGGCGAAGGCGGCUUACUGGACGGUAACUGACGUUGAGGCUCGAAAGCGUGGGGAGC